GAUGAACGCUGGCGGCGUGCCUAAUACAUGCAAGUCGAGCGAACAGACGAGGAGCUUGCUCCUCUGACGUUAGCGGCUGACGGGUGAGUAACACGUGGAUAACCUACCUAUAAGACUGGGAUAACUUCGGGAAACCGCAUCUAAUACCGGAUAAUAUAUUGAACCGCAUGGUUCAAUAGUUCAUGACGGUUUUGCUGUCUCUUUUAGAUGGUUCCGCGCCGCAUUAGCUAGUUGGUAAGGUAACGGCUUACCAAGGCAACGAUGCUUAGCCGACCUGAUAGGGUGAACGGCCAAAAUGGAAAUGAGACAAGGGCCAGACUCCUAAGGGAGGCAGCAGUAGGGAAUCUUCGGAAAUGGGCGAAAGCCUGACGGAGCAAAGCCGCGUGAGUGAUGAAGGUCUUCGGAGCGUAAAACUCUGUUAUUAGGGAAGAAAAAAUAUGUAAGUAACUAUGCACGGCUUGAAGGUAACUAAUCAGAAAGCCACGGCUAAAUACGUG
rnacentral:rRNA from 1 species